rnacentral:lncRNA from 1 species
GUCGAGGUUCGGUCAAAGUUCAGUUCGUUGCUGUUGUUAGCUGACCUUGUGCCGAGGUUCUGUACUAAUUCAAUAUUGGGAAAGGAAUUGUUGCUAUUAAAAGGCCACACUUUAACUUUACUUAUCCUUCUAAUUGCUAGAUCUGGUGUCAUGGCUCUAUGAAUUUUUAUUUGAUUUUGCUUGUUUCAGUCUUACUGUUUAUGUGAUAGUAGUAGUUUGGGGUUUCGUGAAUACUUAAGGGAGGGGAAUUAUUGUGUGGAUUCCAUAGGGUGGAAAAUAGAAAAACAGAAAUAAAGUAGGCCUCUUGAGGUGGCACAUGCAUUUGCUCGCUAUUGAGUUUCUACACAGAUUAGUAUAAGAUCUUCUCUUUUGCAAAGUCAUAAAGAAGUAAGAAAGAUCCAAAUGUACAGUAGUAGCCAUAAGGACAUUGAGAUCCGAACUUAUACACUACGUUUAAUUUGUGAAACAAAUCAAUUUGGAUUUAGUAUAUAUCAACCAUGUGUGGUUAAUGUGAGCUAUUGAAUGUUUGUUCAAAGUGGUAAAUGGGGUUUGAUAUUGGGGUGCUUUAGAAGUUGAAUCCAAUGACUGAAAUCAUUUGGUGAAGAUUUGAGUGAGUUUGAAGCCGCGUAUCCUAUGCCUCAUUCCUACGCCCUUCCCUACGCGACUACUCGAUGCAACAGGUUUGACUUUUCUAAGUUAAAACUUAGCCUCAUGAACUAAAUUUGAUCUUUGAGUUAUGAGAGUUGAAAAUAGCUUCUAAUUUACUGUAGUCCGAAUCCAUUUAGUGUGAUUAAUUGAGGAAUUUUAGUUGAGAAGCUGAGUGUAGAGGGUGUUGAACUAAGCUUGGGAUAAUUAGUUGUCUAAAAGGAUUCAAAUCCCAACUGUGGUUAAAAGUAAUUAGAAAUCCUUUAAAGAUAGCCUAAGAUUUCUUUAAUAAAAGGGAUUAUCUACCUAACCAACUAAAGAAGCUUCUAGUAUUGGUAGGGUUUAGAUUUCACUAUUAGAAAAUUUAAUUCAAUAAGGGUUGAGUGGAAUCAAUUUUUAAAAUGUUGAAAGGCCAUUUUGUGAAUCAAAGAGGCAUUUUCUAUUGGCCUAUUUAAGCUAAGAGACUGAAUUCAAAGGGGGACACAGAUAGACACACAAAAAACACAAGAGAGAACAAUAGAGAGUUAAGAGCUGAAAAAUACAGAGAUAGAGGUGGCUGGAACUUCAAGAGAGAAAAUUUAGAAAAAAUAAAAAAUAGCUGAAAACCAAAAAAAAAGGGAAGAACUACUGUUCCAUUGCAUUUUCUUUUCUAUAAUUUUAAGAGGCUUGUAGUUUUCUGAAGAUUGUCCAAGGAUCUAGUGUGGGAAUGGAGUAGAUUUGGUUGUUUGAAGUUUGGUUGUGAAGUUGGUUGGUUAUUGCUCAAUUGAAACUGUUUUCUCUUACUUCCGAUUCAUUUUCCUGGGUUGAAUUUUUGCUACUAGUGCUAUUUUUCCUGCUGCGUACUGCUGACUCAUCACUCCUUUUGGCUUUGUUUAUCUUGCUGUUGUAACCAGGUACAUUCCCCUUGACUUCUGAUGACUAUAGGUUUCAUAAUGAAGAUGAAAUGAGAAUUGGAAGCAUGACAUCAAAUCUGUGUUGUUCUUUUAUGAUGUUUAUAUGCUUAGUCACCCAGUUCAAUGUAAUUUAGUUGUUUUCAGUUGGAUUUAACUAAGAUAUUAUGUUAUAAUUGAACCAUGAACUGUUG